GCUCCAGUGCUAGAGAGCUGCUUACGCCCACCUCUCUGCGGAGAGGAGGCUGUUAGCAAUUUGACCUCCUUUAACUUACUCUUUUGUUUAGUGACCAAGUUCUGAGUUUUUUUUUGUUUGGGUGUUUUCUUGUUGAAGAUGAUAGUGGCUUGACUCUCUGUUUUUGUUUAAAAAUAAAGGUUUUUAUUUUAAUUAAUAAAAACCUUUACUUUAUUGACAGCUUUGCCUCCUCAGAUCUCCCGGACCUUUAGGGGGCGUAACAAAUGGGGGCUCCUCCGGGAUAUUGAAAAAGGAGGUCUGGAAGCAGGAAUACUUGGUUCUUGUUAUACCUUGCUUUUUGGUGGCUUAUUAUAUGUGCAACUUCCCACUUAUUAAGUUGUUUAGUUUUUGUUAGCCUGGCUAGCCUGUGAUUAAGCAGGUCUGUAUGCGUUGCCUUAAUUAGGUGUGUUGAGGUAAUUUAUCAGCAGCCUGUUAGCUCUACUCUUACUGCAUAGAGAGGACAACAACUUUGUUCCAUUUUUUGUGUCUGCUUAACCUUCUCCAAGUGUUAAAAUUGAUGCAAAGCUGGGAGUGAAUCCUGUGGGGCUUCAGCUGGAGAAGGAGGAAUGAGAGAGGGAGUUCUAGUUGGGGAGGGAGCUGGAACAAAAGAAAAUCAGGGCUGAGAGAGAGCCAUCAAAUUGCAUCAGCUGGAGCUGUGGUCCAGCUGAGCUCUGGUCCCACAACAGUUGGUUCACCUAGUUCCAGUCUUUUGUGAGACAGGUAGUGAGGCAUUUUUCACUGCAUUUGAAUGCAUAGCAACCAUGUUGUACUGUCUUCAUGACGUGUGGGCAAUAAUGUUGUUCUGUAAGUUGACAGAUAAGGGCCAGGAAGCUUUUUCUGUCCUGUCUGUUGAGGACAGUCUAGUUUAUAAAAAGCUAAAAAGUGCUAUCUUGACAGCUUAUCAACUUGUACCUGAAGCCUAUAAAUAGUGUUUUAGAAGUCUCAGAAAAACAUCCCCUGGUCUUUAAGGGGAGGGUAACACUAUGCAGCUUGUGUGGAGCUGAGAGUGAGAUCUGUCUCAUUAAUAACACAACUGACUCAUGCAGGAGCUGUCCAUGGCCUCCUGAUAUCACAUACGUCCAAACCUGUUGUACAUGGAUGCAUCCUGCCAGAAAUUGGCACUGGCCAACUGACGACCCAAAAACAUGCAGGCAACUCAUGGCAAGGAGCUUCACAAAGAGGUUUUAAUCCACUUUUCACUGCCUCUUGAAGCAGCUGCCGAGCAGCAGGCCGAGUGCUCCCCAUUCUCUAGCCUCAGAUCUCUACCAUCUACAGCAGGACCAAUGGAAGAUCUUGCCAGCAGCAGCCCCGGAGCAACUGGAUUGGAAAUUCUCUCACAGACGAGUGGGGAAAACAGAGAAAGGAGUGUGUGGGAAUCCAGCCUCACUACCUACAGCAAAGACUGUGUUAUUAAUAAAGACUUGUUAAUCCUUGCCACCAUGCUCUGCACUUGUGUCCAGGUUUACGGAGGAGCUUAACACACAGACAAAAUAUAAUCUGAACUAAGUCACUUGCAGGAUUUCUUGUCUCACAGUCAAACUUAGUAACUUAUUUUGUCUGAACUUUCAUACAGUGCUCAAACAAGACUGCAAUAACAAUGAGGGCAGUCACAAAAAAAAGAGUCAGACUCCCUGCACGCCUGAACCCACUUCAAAACAGGGCCCAGUCCUGCUCCUGCUCAGCAGCAGGGCUGAUUUACUUCUGCAAAGUGAAGAGAUAAAGUACACUUCAGUUAAGCACUCCGAGCCACAAAAGUCAGAAUCUGCUGAGAAUACUGAUUCUUGUGAGCAGAGGAGCUUGGCAAAAACUUUGAGCUUACCCAAACUGCAAAUGCACUGCAGGAUAAGAAUCCCAGAAUGGGCAAAACAAAGAAGAAAAUAUUGUGAAUAUCUUAAAUAAUAAAAUGCAUUAUCUUAA